CACUCCCUUGAUGCUUUGGUGACCUUUUAUUGUCUGUGUGUGAGCGCCUGCACAUGUUCGCGCACGUGUUUUGUGUAUGUGUGUUGGCACGCAUGUAUGCUUUGUGAAACUUGUGUGUGAGAGAGCGAGACAGAACAGUGGUGUCUCACUGUGUGAGACUAUGAUGUCAUAGUCUCAUCCCCUAUGCCUGGCUCUGGCUGUAUCAUGCUAAUCCAGACCGAGGACUAAGGAGAGAAGGGAGGAGAGAUAAUAACAGGAGGAGAGAGGAUAGAAGAGCACACUGAUCAUCCUUUGCAGAAACGAGCAGUGAAACAACAUACAUGGCUUGUCUCUGUUCGACAACCUGAGCUAAAACAUUCACUGACCUGAGGACCUCACACCGAGGACAACCCUUGCAUGACCAAAGACUGACCAGGACCACGUUUUUGGAUUGAAAACACUAGUUGGAGCCAGAGUAAACCGUACUGCAGAUUAACCAUAUCCUGGAUUAAGGAGAGAGAGGGACAGAUAUCUAACACUUUUUCCAUCACUCUCCCUCCCUACUGGCACUAGAGAAGGACUUUACAGAACACACUAAUAUCUGAUGUAAAUAUUGACAUUGUGUUGGAUGCCUGUCCUCAUCUGACUUGCACUAAGAGAAAGAGAAGAGAAAGUUAUGGGAGCUCAUCCAUGACCCUUUGACUCCUCAACUGGCGGUGACCUCAGAGCUGCCCUAGGGGCUGGGUUCGAUGUGAGGCAGCUGUCUGCUGCGGUCGACAUGCAACCAACGUCUGACUUCUCUUUUUUUACUCCCUCUUUUUUUCUCGUUGUAGCUGCACCUCUUUCUCUCUCGGCCUGGGGCAAGGAUUCAAAUAGUCCUCCUGUAAAUCCAUUCCGAGGGAAGACACACACACUCGCUCACUCACUGGAGGUCUGAGUCAGACUACGCCACUGAGAGAGAGUUGUGUGUCAGUGAGUCUGUCAUGUCUGUUUCACUUACUUACCUGUCACAUCUGUCCACCUGUCUGUCUGUCCGUGUGAAUAAGUGUGAGUGACAUCACAUACGUAACAGUUCGCGGUGUCUGUCUCGCUAUCUGUCUGUGGGAAUCAGUGACUUCAUGUGACAAAACGUGUGUGUGUGUGUGUGUGUGUCUAUCAGCAUUCAACAAUACGAGCCAAUUUCACUGUGUGUGUAUCGCUCUCCAUAAACCCACAAUGGGCUGUGCCAUGUGCUCACAGUUGAUUGAUAUGUGGAGUGUGUCAGUGAGGAGAACCAGCCGAAGGGCCAUGGAACUGACUGCCCUUCCCGAGGCUCUCCAGGGGGGCUACCACAGAGUCACCGGCCUCCACUACAUGUCCUCCUUCUCCGAUGCAGAGGACUGCUGUGAUGACAAGAACAGUCACAACAGCACCACCGGCAGCUCCUUCACUAUGGACUGGCAAGAGACAGAUGACUGACACUGGGGUGACAGGUAGCCUAAGCAGUGUUUCCCAACUCCAGUCCUCGGGUACUUGUCAACUAAUCAUCAAAUAAAAUAAAUUUUUAUUAGUCACAUGCACCGAAUAUAACAGGUGUAGCCCUUACAGUGAAAUGCUUACUUACGAGACCCUAACCAACAGUGCAGUUUAAAAAAAUACGGAUAAGAAUAAGAGAUAAAAGCAACAAGUAAUUAAAGAGCAGCAGUAAAAAAUAAAAUAACAAUAUAUACAAGGGGGUGCCGCUACAGAGUCGAUGUGCGGGAGCACCAGUUAGUUGAGGUAGUAUGUACAGUUGAAGUCGGAAGUUUACAUACACUUAGGUUAGAGUCAUUAAAACUCAUUUUUCAACCACUCCACAAAUUUCUUGUUAACAAACUAUAGUUUUGGCAAGUCGGUUAGGACAUCUACUUUGUCACAAGUCAUUUUUCCAACAAUAGUUUACAGACAGAUUAUUUCACUUAUAAUUCACUGUAUCACAAUUCUAGUGGGUCAGAGGUUUAAAUACACUAAGUUAACUGUGCCUUUUAAACAGCUUGGGAAAUUCCAGAAAAUUAUGUCAUGGCUUUAGAAGCUUCUGAUAGGCUAAUUGACAUAAUUUGAGUCAACUGGAGGUGUACUUGUGGAUGUAUUUCAAGGCCUACCUUCAAACUCAGUGCCUCUUUGCUUGACAUCAUGGGAAAAUCAAAAGAAAUCAGCCAAGACCUCAGAAAAAAAUUGUAGACCAAGACUGGUUAAUCCUUGGGAGCAAUUUCCAAAUGCCUGAAGGUACCACGUUCAUCUGUACAAACAAUAGUAUGCAAGUAAAAACACCAUGGGACCACGCAGCCGUCAUACCGCUCAGGAAGGAGAUGCGUUCUGUCUCCUAGAAAUGAACGUGCUUUUGUGCGAAAAGUGCAAAUCAAUCCCAGAACAACCGCAAAGGACCUUGUGAAGAUGCUGGAGGAAACGGGUACAAAAGUACCUAUAUUCACAGUAAAACAAGUCCCUAUAUCGACAUAACCUGAAAGGCCGCUCAGCAAGGAAGAAGCCACUGCUCCAGAACCGCCAUAAAAAAGCCAGACUAUGGUUUGCAACGGCACACGGAGACAAAGAUCGUCAUUUUUUAAGAAAUGUCCUCUGGUCUGAUGAAACAAAAAUAGAAACGUUUGGCCAUAAUGACCAUUGUUAUGUUUGGAGAUAAAGUGGGAGGCUUGCAAGCCGAAGAACACCAUCCCAACCGUGAAGCACGGGGGUGGCAGCAUCAUGUUGUGGGGGUGAUUUGCUGCAGGAGGGACUGGUGCACUUCACAAAAUAGAUGGCAUCAUGAGGGAGGAACAUUUAGUGGAUAUAUUGAAGCAACAUCUCAAGACAUCAGUCAGGAAGUUAAAUCUUGGUCGCAAAUGGGUCUUCCAAAUGGACAAGCAUACUUCCAAAGUUAUGGCGAAGUUAAGGACAACAAAGUCAAGGUAUUGGAAUGGCCUUCACAAAGCCCUGACACCAAUCCUAUUGAAAAUGUGUGGCGUAUGUGAGCAUGGAGACCUACCAACCUGACUAAGUUACACCAUCUCUGUCAGGAGGAAUGGGUCAAAAUUCACCCUACGUAUUCAGGGAAGCUUGAGGAAGGCUACCCGAAACGUUUGACCCAAGUUAACCUGUCUAGGAUCAGCGUGGCGCUAGCGGCACACCCCCCCCCCCCCCACUGAAAAACCAGUGCCGCGAAAUUCAAAAAAAAUAUUUUUUUUAAAUAUUUAACUUUCACACAUUAAAGUCCAAUACAGCUAAUGAAAGACACAGAUCUUGUGAAUCCAGUCAACAUUUCCGAUUUUUAAAAUGUUUUACAGGGAAGACACAAUAUGUAAAGAUGUACAUCUAUUACCUAAAAACACAUUAGCAUAAUCCACCAUCUUUUAUUUGUCCACCAACACCAGUAGCCAUCACCAAUUCGGCUAAACUAAGAUAUUUAUAGCCCCUAACCAACAAAAAAACUCAUUAGAUGACAGUCUGAUAACAUAUUUAUGGUAUGGGAUAGGUUUUGUUAGAAAAAAGUGCAUAUUUCAGGUAGAUGGCAUAGUUUACAAUUGCACCCACCAUCACAAAUGGACUAGAAUAAUUACAAUGAGCAACGUGUUUACCUAACUACUAAUCAUCAAACAUUUCGUAAAAAUACACAGCAUACACGAAUCGAAAGACACAGAUCCUGUGAAUACAGACAAUAUUUCAGAUUUUCUAAGUGUCUUACAGCGAAAACACAAUAAAUCGUUAUAUUAGCAUAGCACAUAGCACAUAGCAGCCCAGCAUUGAUUCUAGCCAAAGUGGGCGAUAACGUCAACAUCGCCAAAAAUAUAUUAAUUUUUUCACUAACCUUCUCAGAAUUCUUCAGAUGACACUCCUGUAACAUCAUAUUACACAAUCCAUAUAGAGUUUGAUCGAAAAUGUUUAUAUUUAGCCACCAAAAUCAUGGUUAGACAAUGUGAAAUGUAGCUCAGCUGGUCAGAAAAUGUCCUUGCGCCACUUAGACAGUGAUCUACGCUUAUACAUAAAUACUCAUAAACGUGACUAAAAAAUAUAGGGUGGACAGGGAUUGAUAGACAAUUUAAUUCUUAAUACAAUUGCGUUAUUACAUUUUUUAAUUUAUCCUUACUUUUCAAUACAGUUUGCGCCAAGCGAAGCUACGUCAAAAAACAUGGCGUCCUAAGCCACUAAAAUGUUUCGACAGAAACACGAUUUAUCAUAAUAAAAAUGUCCUACCUUGAGCUGUUCUUCCAUCAGUAUCUUGGGCAAAGGAUCCUUUCUUGGGAGAAAUCGUCUUUUGGUGGAAAGCUGUCCUCUUGCCAUGUGGAAAUGUCAACUGCGUUCGGGAUGAACUGAAAAGCGUGCCCAACUUUUCACAUCGUUGCAAAAAUAAAUGUCCCAAAAUCGCACUAAACGGAUAUAAAUUGCUAUAAAACGCCUUAAAUUAACUACCUUAUGAUGUUUUUAACUCCUAAAACGAGUGAAAAGAUGACCGGAGAAAUAUAACAGGCUAAACUAACGCUUGGAACAGGUGCGCGCCGGUGUCCUCUAGGCUCAUGACGCAGCUCCCAAAGAAUGACUAGCUUCAGGGUUUUUUCAUUUGUAGGGCCUGUGAACGCGCAAUCGACCCCGUUGGAAUCGUCAUCACGUAAAGGCAUCCAGGGGAAGACGUAAGAAGUGUCCGUAUAGUCAUAGCAACGACAGUGCCCUUUUAAAUGACUUCAGAAGAGUGGCCAACAUUUCUCAAAUCUGACUCCAUGUCAGGGAAAUUGCUGUAGAAUGGGCUCUGUUCCACUUAGAGACAAAAUUUCAACUCCUAUAGAAACUAUAGACUGUUUUCUAUCCAAUAAUAAUAAUAAUAUGCAUAUUGUACGAUCAAGGAUUUUGUGGGAAGCCGUUUCAAAAAUUACCCAAUUAGCAUAAAUAGUCUAAACAGCGCCCCCAUCCCCAACAGGUUAAACAAUUUAAAUGCAAUGCUACCAAAUAGUAAUUGAGUGUAUGUAAACUUCUGACCCACUGGGAAUGUGCUGAAAGAAAUCAAAGCUGAAAUAAAUAAUUCUCUGUACUAUUAUUCUGACAUUUCACAUUCUUAAAAUAAAGUGGUGAUCCUAACUGACCUAAGACAGGCAAUUUUUACUCUGAUUAAAUGUCAGGAAUUGUGAAAAACUAAGUUUAAAUGUAUUUGGCUAAAGUGUAUGUAAACUUCCGACUUCAACUGUACAUGUAGAUAGAGUUAAUUAAAGUGACUAUGCAUAGAUGACAACAGAGAGUGGCGUUGGUGUGGAGAGGGGGAGGGCAAUGUGAAUAGUCUGGGUAGAUGUUCAGGAGUCUUAUGGCUUGGAGGUAGAAGCUGUAUAGAAGCCGUUGAUGAGUUGAAUGAGGUGUUCUUGUCCGGGGCAACAACGAAAAUGUGUACUGUUUGGGGUACUGGAGGUCAAAAGGUUAGAGAGGCGGCCCAGAACCAGAGGGUCGGCAGUUCAAAUCUUGAGUCUGACAGGAAAAUCUGGUCUGGACUAGAGUGAACUGGCAACCUGAGUCUAAUUAGUACCAAUAUCCUAUAGAGACCAUAUCCUGCCCUUGUUUAAUUGAUGCAAAAAAUGCACUGAGUACAACCCAGGGAAUAACACGUUAAAAGGGAUUCCACUUAUUUUCAACGUGGUCCCCGAUGGAAUACAGACAAAACAACAUUAAUCCCUAUGCAUCACAUAGCAUAGAAUAAGUAAAUAAAUCAAAUAAGAUACAGGAAAAUCUAAUAAAAUACAGUCAACUUAUCCUGAUCCCAUCCUUUUGUCUUUCUGGACUCUAUACACGUCCUUCAUCAAUAAAUCUACAUAUUUAGUGUGGCUUGUGAAUGUGCCACUUAUUUAUACACUUCAUUAUUCUUUACAAGGCUACUCCUCUUACACCGUUUUAAGAUAGAAAUGCCAUUCAAACUUUAAAACAUGCAGACUGGUCUGAAAUAUUGUGCUUACACACACUUUUUGAAACCAUUUAUACUUUUUAAACUAUUGAACUUUUAUUAAUCUUCAUACACUUUAAUGAGAUUUCUUCAACAUUCUAAACCUCCCAUUAUUAAAAAAUACCAUUCUGAAGCUGUGACUUCUAACAUUCUAUUCACUGUAAACACUAACUUUUGAUGUAAAUCAGCUACUUUCCAAACAACUUAGACAAACACGUAGAGGGUAUGACAUCUUGAUAUUCUUCUCUGCUACUCAAAUCUGAAAUCAGAACAGAAUUAUCUUCUAUCAAUCAAAAACAGCUGUUUUAGUAACCGCAUCAACUUUUAAAAACAGACUUUUUGACCACUUUCCCAGCAAGUUAGACAAAAACUUGGAGUGUAUGAAAUCUUAGUCUACUUCUCUGCUUUUCAAAUAUAAUAUCAGAACACUUCUUCCACUACCACAAAAAUACUUUUAAAGAGCUGAAGCAAGGCAUACAAUUUUACUUAACGUAAAAUGACCAUCUACUUAUCAAUAAAACGGUAUUACAGCUAGGAUGGUCUCGGGGCCAGACCUCUGCUUUCACAUUACUGAUGUAGCAGAGGCAUAAAUUCCUGUCUGACCACGUUUCCACUCUACAAAGAUAAUUGUGCAGGUACAAUAUCAGAAAUGUUGACAGACAAUUUGUUCGUUUUACAUGGUGGAAGUUUUUGUGUCUGUAAAAUGAAUUAUGUGACAAGUUGUGGUGGAAACGAUUUCUUGCGCAAUUGUUGAUAGAAUAACCAUAAUGUGGAGGUACAUUUUUGGAGUCAUGCUAUGUAAAAAUAAAUAAAUAAACGAAA